UAAGGAAUAUUGGUCAAUGGGCGCAAGCCUGAACCAGCCAUGCCGCGUGCAGGAAGACGGCCCUACGGGUUGUAAACUGCUUUUGUACGGGAAUAAACCUACUUAUGUAUAAGUAGCUGAAUGUACCGUAAGAAUAAGGAUCGGCUAACUCCGUGCCAGCAGCCGCGGUAAUACGGAGGAUCCGAGCGUUAUCCGGAUUUAUUGGGUUUAAAGGGUGCGUAGGCGGCCUAUUAAGUCAGGGGUGAAAGACGGUAGCUUAACUAUCGCAGUGCCUUUGAUACUGAUAGGCUUGAAUGUACUUGAGGUAGGCGGAAUGUGACAAGUAGCGGUGAAAUGCAUAGAUAUGUCACAGAACACCAAUUGCGAAGGCAGCUUACUAAAGUAUGAUUGACGCUGAGGCACGAAAGCGUGGGGAUCAAACAGGAUUAGAUACCCCCGUAGUCC
rnacentral:rRNA from 1 species